rnacentral:lncRNA from 1 species
AGGGGUCUGGGGGGGCACAGGGCGGAAAAUUGGGGGGCACGGGGGGGGAGCACGAGGCGCGUCCCUUUGCACACGCGUGUGUCACCCGCGCGUGUCCAGCCCCGAGGAAGGGGACGCUGCCGAAGGUGACAAUGACGGUGACCCUGGCUGUGCCCCCGGGGGGGGUCCCGCGGGGGGUCCCGGGGGGGUCGUGGCCCCCCCGCCCCGCGCGCGGUUCUCGAUGCUGCUGGAGCCGCUGGAGCCGCCGGAGCUGGCGCUGCUGCUCACGCACCUGGAGCACCGCGGCUUCGCCCGGCUGCGCCUCUGUGACAUCCGCGCCUUCGCGCGCUCCGCGGGCACCUCGAGCUCCCCCGCUCUCCGCCGCUUGGUGGCGCUGUCCAACGGCCUCUCGCGCUGGGUGCAGCUGCGCGUGCUGCGCCCCCUGGCGGCCCCGCAGCGCGCGGCGGCGCUGGGGCAGUGCCUGCACCUGGCACAGAGCCUCCUGGAGCUCCGCAACUUCAACUCCCUCCUGGCCGUGGUCGGGGGGCUCGGCCACGGCUCCAUCGCACGCCUGCGCCGGACCCUCGCUCUGCUGACCCCCCCCCUCAUCCAGGUGGGGGUCCUGGGGGCACCUGGGGGGUCUCGGUGGGGAACAUGGGGGUCUUAGGGGGGUCCUGGAGGGGUCCUGGGGGUGCUCUUGGGGGAACGUGGGGGGCACAAGGGGGUCCGAGGGGUGUUCUGGGUGUUGAGGGACAUCGGGAGGUUUUGGGGGGUUCUGUGGGGGUCUUGGGGGACACAUGGGGGUCCUGGGGGAGUCCCAGGGGGCACAGGAAGGUCCAGGAGGGUCCUUGUUGGGUUCUGGAGGAGGCACAGGGGAGACGGGGGGGUCCCGUCACCCCUCGGCCCUGCUCAGUUCUAAAAUGUCCCCCCUGUGUCCCCCCCCCCAUCCUUGUGCCCCCGCUCUGUCCCUGUGUCCCCUGUACCCUCCUGUGACCCCCCCGCACCCCAAUAUCCCCCUCCCCGAUGCCCCCCCAGCUGUGGGCACAGCUGGCCGAGGCCGUGGGCUCGGGGGGGAACUACCGGGGCUACCGGGCGCUGCUGGGGGGCGCGGGGAGCGCAGGGGGGUUCCGGGUGCCGGCGCUCGGCGUCCACCUGCGGGACCUGGUGUCGCUGGAGGCGGCGCUGCCGGACUGGGGGGGCCCGGGACGCCCCCACCCCAACAAACUGCGGGCCCGCUUCGCCCUGCAAGGGGCGCUGCUGGCGGGGCGCGAGCAGGGACCCCCCGGCACCCCCCACCCCGACCUGCUCCGGCUGCUGGAGGUGUCGCUGGCGCUCGGGCCCAGCGAGGAGCAGCUCCACCAGAUGUCGCUGCAGCGCGAGCCCCGCGAGAGCGCCCCCGUGAGGCCGGGGGGAGCGGGGGGGGAACGGGGGGCGAGUGUGGAAAGGGGGGGGCGAGUGUGGAAAGGGGGAGGCGAGUGUGA